AUCCUCCAGUUCCAUUUCCCAUUGGAUCUGAACCUGGUCUUGGUGGUCAUAAAAGGAGGGAAAGGAAUACUGAAGCUGGCCUCUGGUGUAGGGUAGCCUGGCUGCACCCUGGGGCUGGUUUUAGACACCC
rfam:Tupaia chinensis contig74504, whole genome shotgun sequence.